rnacentral:misc_RNA from 1 species
UCCCCAUUAACUGGGGCAGUUUCCUGUGAAAAAUUCAACACAGGAUAGGGGUUGCGCUCGUUAACCGACUGAACGGGACACCUCACGGCACGAGCUGACGACAACCGUGCAGCACCUGUCUUCUAGUUCCUUGCGGCACGGCCCUGUUUCCAGGGCUUUCUAGAGAUGUCAAACCUCGGUAAGGUUCUUCGCUUGCUAUCGAAUUAAACCACACGCUCCUCCACUUGUGCAGGUCCCCGUCAAUUCCUUUGAGUUUUAAGCUUGCGCUCGUACUCCCCAGGCGGCUGACUUAUCGCGUUAGCUUCGGUCCAAAGGAGGGUCGAUACUCCCCAAGACCUAGUCAGCAUCGUUUACGGCGUGGACUAC